rnacentral:rRNA from 1 species
AUGGGAGCGGGGAUGGUGGAGCUCGGGCCCGGGAUGGUGGAGGUGGGCGCGGCGGAGGCCGCGCAGACCGUGCCGCCGGCCAAGAGGAGGCGGGUGCUGGCCCUCAAGACCGCGGCGGCGGCGGCAGGAAGGAGGCCGCGGCGCGAGAGGAGGCCGUCCGCCAUCCAGCGCCUCUUCCAGGCCUGCCGCGCCGUCUUCCGGGGCCCCGGCACCGUGCCCGCGCCCGCCGAGGUCGCCCUGCUCCGCGCCAUGCUCGACAGAAUGAGACCAGAGGACGUCGGCCUAAGCUCAGACAUGCCCUUCUUCAGGAAUAGAGAUGCGCCGGCAACCGAAGGGACCCCGGCCAUCACACACACCACCAUAUACAAAUCUGAGAAAUUUUCCAUGGUUCUCUUCUUCUUGCCGACGAAUGCGGUCAUCCCUCUGCACAACCACCCCGGUAUGACGGUGUUCAACAAGCUACUCAUCGGAUCGAUGCACGCAAAGUCAUAUGACUGGGCUGAUCCUGAUGAUCCGCCUAAUGAGAGUGACGCUUCGUCAGCUGACGGUCAAUUGAGGCUGGCACAACUAGUCGUGGACGAUGUUUUCACGGCGCCGUGCGACACGUCGGUCUUGUUCCCGACGGCGGGAGGCAACAUGCACCGGUUCAGGGCCGUCGCGCCAUCUGCGUUCCUUGACAUCCUCGGCCCCCCUUACUCCAUCGAAGAAGACCGAGACUGCACGUACUAUACAGACAUUCCUUACUCCGAGCAUCACAUGACCAGCAAUGAGCUCAUCGGCAACGAGCAAGAAGGCCGGCGUCUCGCGUGGCUGAAAGAGGUCGAGAUGCCGAGGGAUCUGAAGAUGUGCAGCGUCCGGUACGGCGGUCCACCGAUCUCCGGCAGAUGA